rnacentral:rRNA from 1 species
AGGCGGGAGUCUCUGUGGAGCGCGGUGUCCAAGUCCCUUGGAACAGGGUGCCUGAGAGGGUGAGAGCCCCGUAGGGUGCUGCGCGAAGCUUUUGAGGCCCUGCUGACGAGUCGAGUUGUUUGGGAAUGCAGCUCCAAGCGGGUGGUAAAUUCCAUYUAAGGCUAAAUAUUGGCGAGAGACCGAUAGCGAACAAGUACUGUGAAGGAAAGAUGAAAAGCACUUUGAAAAGAGAGUGAAACAGCACGUGAAAUUGUUGAAAGGGAAGGGUAUUGGGCUCGACAUGGGGGGUGCGCACCGCUGUCUCUUGUAGGCGGCGCUCUGGGCGCCCUCUGGGCCAGCAUCGGUUCCUGCUGCGGGAGAAGGGGCUCCGGAAAGUGGCUCUUCGGAGUGUUAUAGCCGGGGCCAGAUGCCGCGUGUGGGGACCGAGGACUGCGGCUUCUGUCUCGGAUGCUGGCAUA